CCAAGUAACCAUCCAGCACUAGCAAAAAGUCAGAAAUCGGCAACAGAUUGGCAUUCCAUUGCUAAUUAGUCAUGCAAUAGCAUUUACAAAUGCGAUUCAGCACUUAUUCAACUGCACUGUCCAAAGCUGAUUAAAUGCUGCUUAAGUGCAACGACUAGCAACACUGUCAUGCUUUUUCUAUGAAACUGGCAACGCUGUUCACAUUCUGAGAGGAGAGUGAAAGAGAGAGUGCAAGAAAACAAUAACCAUCUCACUUUCUCGCUUCGCAUAAAAAAAUCAACAACGAUUGUAAGCUGACGAAGCCAGCAGCUCAAAACCGUGUUCAUCUCGGUUUUCAUCAUCCUCCUAACACGAACGAGAGCAAUUCCACCUUCUUGGAAGACCGCAACAAUGAGCCGCAGGAAUAAAUGGCGUUUAGUUUUGUCCUGCUGGUCUCCCACCGAACCAAGCGGGCGGCGUACAAUUCAUUGGCUCUCGUCAAGCCAGUUCAAGGCUUUCGGAAUUGUAUGUAGUAAUUAUAUUAAAUAUUAUGAAUAAAAGACAACAAAUUUAAUCUUUCGAACAAGA